CUGCAUCUUAUGCAGCCUCCAAAAUCACCCACGGAUAUGAUACCAACACCUGCUGAUACAAACCUGGCUGCAGUAAGAGCAGAGAGCAAGAUGUGCUCUGAGUUCCACGGCCAGCUCAAGGGAUUCAAAAGCAUCCCUGACACUAAUUCAGCUGGGCUCCUGACACUGGGGAAACUGGCCAUUACUAACAGGAUGUUCCACACGUGGAGAACUGGACGUGUUUGCAGGAGAACUGAGGAUGCUCCCCAAGCCAGAUGCUGCAAGUUCUGCACUAGGACAGAGGCUGCCCACUGAACUUUUGCAGUGAACGUCCUUUAUUGUACUCAACCCUUCCAGUGGUUUUCCAGUUUCAUGGAAAUAUUGCUGAAGCAACCCAUCUUUCUAAGAUUUCCACUCUGUGUUCAGCACCUGCAGCACAGGGGCAGAGGUGCUGCUUACAGCAAGAUUUUCAACAUCACCAAAUCCCUUAGAAGUCCCACAGGUGGAGAGA